UAAAACAAACAAAAAGCCAAACGUUUCCCAGAAUGCAUUUCUGUUUAUCAUGUCCUUCAGUCAUACAGAAAGCAUACAUGGCACCUAGGUUCACACAGAGCCUCUUUCUAUGGCUCUGGGCUCACCGUGCUACAAAGUGCCGCUGCCACACGUAAGACCAUCCUCCUAUUUUUCAGGCUACUGAAUCUGCCCCUGCAACAAUUCCUGAACAAAUUGUUGCUAAUAGGACAUAUUGGAGCUGCAUUGAGAUUUUAUGAGGCUACUGGCAGGAUUUACAUACUACACUACAUGGCCAAAAUAUCUGGAUGCCCCUUGGUCUGGGACUGUUUUUCGAGGUUUGGGAUGGACCCCUUCAUUCCAAUAAAGUAGUGCCUAAAGAGGACCAAUUCCCCAGCAGGCUGACCGCACAGCCUUUGAUCAUGGAGCGAGAGAGAUUAACAAGCUGGAUGGAGGUGAUGAGUUUUGUUGCCUGGAGGGAGACGUUGCUGAUCGCUUGCUGGUGAAGUUCGGCGAGAAGAGCAGCGGGGUGGUUUUGUCAGCGAGUCAGGAGAACAUCUACUGAUCCCUAGCCAGCUCCCCGUCACCCCGGGAAACCACGUCGUGACAUCACACUGGAGGCCGACUGGUGAAAAGGUGACCCGGAUAAUCAGAAUUUUAUUUCACUGAAAUGGAGCACAUGAAAGAAACAUUCAACCAGACUCAAACUCUCCGAAGAUCUGCACAGCGAUCACUUUCAUUCACGCCGCGUGUCGGGGCUCUGAUUGGAGGAGGUCUGAUCUCCCAGCCAGUUAAUAAGCAUUGAUUCAGACCCGACCGACGUCCAUCUGAUAUCCGACGCAGGAAAAGUGCCAGCCUCUGAUUAAAUUCCGCCUGCUUUGGGUUCCUGCGCUCUUAUCCGCUGAUCUGCUGUCAGGGGCGGAGCCGCGGCUGUUACUGAUUCAAUAAGGCGCUGUCAGAAUGCCACCGUGACGUCCUCUCCCAAACCCGCCGGGCUGUGAUUUAUCCCCGCUCCCCGCGCUCGCUUCCACUGGAGGCCGAGCGCCUCAGUGAUGGACGACAGCGCGGGCGGCGCGGUCGCCGCUAUUCCCCUUCCAAACGGGGAAACUCCGCCGCGGGACGGAUGGAGUGGGAGCCAUGAAUGCUGCGGGGGGGGGGGGAA